rnacentral:rRNA from 1 species
AUACGUAGGUGGCGAGCGUUAUCCGGAAUUACUGGGUGUAAAGGGUGUGUAGGCGGGAAGGCAAGUCGGAUGUGAAAAUUAUGGGCUCAACCCAUAAAGUGCGACCGAAACUGUUUUUCUUGAGGAUCGGAGAGGUAAUGAGAAUUCCCGGUGUAGCGGUGAAAUGCGCAGAGAUCGGGAGGAAUACCGGUGGCGAAGGCGAAUUACUGGACGAUAACUGACGCUGAGACACGAAAGCGUGGGAAGCAAACAGGAUUAGAUACCCUGGUAGUCCACGCCCUAACCGAUGAAUGCUAGGUGUAGGGGAGUCAUCUUUUGUGCCGCAGCUAACGCAAUAAGCAUUCCACCUGGGGAGUACGGCCGCAAGGUUGAAACUCAAAUGAAUUGACGGGG